rnacentral:rRNA from 1 species
UACGGAGGGGGCUAGCGUUGUUCGGAAUUACUGGGCGUAAAGCGCGCGUAGGCGGACCUGCAAGUCGGGGGUGAAAGCCCGAGGCUCAACCUCGGAACUGCCUUCGAUACUGCGGGUCUCGAGUCCGGGAGAGGUGAGUGGAAUUCCUAGUGUAGAGGUGAAAUUCGUAGAUAUUAGGAAGAACACCAGUGGCGAAGGCGGCUCACUGGCCCGGUACUGACGCUGAGGCAUGAAAGCGUGGGAAGCAAACAGG